rnacentral:rRNA from 1 species
CCUGAUCCAGCCAUGCCGCGUGAGUGAUGAAGGCCCUAGGGUUGUAAAGCUCUUUCACCGGUGAAGAUAAUGACGGUAACCGGAGAAGAAGCCCCGGCUAACUUCGUGCCAGCAGCCGCGGUAAUACGAAGGGGGCUAGCGUUGUUCGGAUUUACUGGGCGUAAAGCGCACGUAGGCGGGCUAAUAAGUCAGGGGUGAAAUCCCGGGGCUCAACCCCGGAACUGCCUUUGAUACUGUUAGUCUUGAGUAUGGUAGAGGUGAGUGGAAUUCCGAGUGUAGAGGUGAAAUUCGUAGAUAUUCGGAGGAACACCAGUGGCGAAGGCGGCUCACUGGACCA